UAAAGUUGUUAUGGCUAACACGGCUAACAACAGUCGCCUGCACAACCAACAACAGAUGAAGAACAACAUUAUCGCCCCCCUAAAGUUAUGUUUUUGUCCACCUGACAAAUGUUUGGAACAGCUGUGAAGAAUCUGCUAAACAUGACUGACCUCCAGGGGAUUUGUAUCCAUGCUUCGGGCGUGUGUGGUGGACAGCUUGCGGCUGGAUUGAUAGAGUGACGUCAGCGCGCCGCUACCUCUC